rnacentral:rRNA from 1 species
CAGCAGCCGCGGUAAUACGGAGGGAGCUAGCGUUGUUAGGAAUUACUGGGCGUAAAGCGCGCGUAGGCGGUUACUCAAGUCAGAGGUGAAAGCCCGGGGCUCAACCCCGGAACUGCCUUUGAAACUAGGUGACUAGAAUCUUGGAGAGGUCAGUGGAAUUCCGAGUGUAGAGGUGAAAUUCGUAGAUAUUCGGAAGAACACCAGUGGCGAAGGCGACUGACUGGACAAGUAUUGACGCUGAGGUGCGAAAGCGUGGGGAGCAAACAGGAUUAGAUACCCCCGUAGUCCCUGUCUCUUAUAC